AGAGUUUGAUCCUGGCUCAGAAUCAACGCUGGCGGCGUGCCUCAGACAUGCAAGUCGAACGAUUAAACUUUCCUUCGGGAAAGAUAUAAAGUGGCGCACGGGUGAGUAACACGUAGGUAAUGUACCUUUGGGUGGGGAAUAACUUAGGGAAACUUAAGCUAAUACCGCAUAAUGCAGCGGCUCCUUCGGGAGACAGUUGUUAAAGAUUUAUCGCCUAAAGAGCAGCCUGCGGCAGAUUAGCUAGUUGGUAAGGUAACGGCUUACCAAGGCUACGAUCUGUAUCCGACCUGAGAGGGUGGUCGGACACACUGACACUGAAUAACGGGUCAGACUCCUACGGGAGGCAGCAGUCGGGAAUUUUGGGCAAUGGGCGAAAGCCUGACCCAGCAACGCCGCGUGAAGGAUGAAGUCUUUCGGGAUGUAAACUUCGUAAGAAUAGGAAGAAUAAAUGACGGUACUAUUUGUAAGGUCCGGCUAACUACGUGCCAGCAGCCGCGNGUAAUACGUAGGGACCAAGCGUUGUUCGGAUUUACUGGGCGUAAAGGGCGCGUAUGCGGCGUGACAAGUCAAUUGUGAAAUCUCCGGGCUUUAACUCGGAACGGUCAAUUUGAUACUGUUGUGCUAGAGUACAAACGGGGCAAUCGGCAAUUCUUGGUGU
rnacentral:rRNA from 1 species